rnacentral:rRNA from 1 species
UGGGGAAUUUUGGACAAUGGGGGCAACCCUGAUCCAGCAAUGCCGCGUGUGUGAAGAAGGCCUUCGGGUUGUAAAGCACUUUUGUCCGGAAAGAAAACGCCGUGGUUAAUACCCGUGGCGGAUGACGGUACCGGAAGAAUAAGCACCGGCUAACUACGUGCCAGCAGCCGCGGUAAUACGUAGGGUGCAAGCGUUAAUCGGAAUUACUGGGCGUAAAGCGUGCGCAGGCGGUCCGCUAAGACAGAUGUGAAAUCCCCGGGCUUAACCUGGGAACUGCAUUUGUGACUGGCGGGCUAGAGUAUGGCAGAGGGGGGUAGAAUUCCACGUGUAGCAGUGAAAUGCGUAGAGAUGUGGAGGAAUACCGAUGGCGAAGGCAGCCCCCUGGGCCAAUACUGACGCUCAUGCACGAAAGCGUGGGGGAGCAAACAGGAUUAGAUACCCUGGUAGUCCACGCCCUAAACGAUGUCAACUAGUUGUCGGGUCUUCAUUGACUUGGUAACGUAGCUAACGCGUGAAGUUGACCGCCUGGGGAGU